rnacentral:rRNA from 1 species
UACAGAGGUCCCAAGCGUUGUUCGGAUUCAUUGGGCGUAAAGGGUGCGUAGGUGGCGCUGUAAGUCGGGUGUGAAAUCCCGAGGCUUAACCUCGGGACUGCAUUCGAUACUGUGGUGCUUGAGGACUGGAGAGGAGACUGGAAUUCAUGGUGUAGCAGUGAAAUGCGUAGAGAUCAUGAGGAAGACCAGUGGCGAAGGCGGGUCUCUGGACAGUUCCUGACACUGAGGCACGAAGGCCAGGGGAGCAAACGGG